rnacentral:rRNA from 1 species
AUUGAACGCUGGCGGCAUGCCUUACACAUGCAAGUCGAACGGUAACGCGGGGCAACCUGGCGACGAGUGGCGAACGGGUGAGUAAUGCAUCGGAACGUGCCCAAUAGUGGGGGAUAGCCCGGCGAAAGCCGGAUUAAUACCGCAUACGACCUACGGGUGAAAGGGGGGGAUCGCAAGACCUCUCGCUAUUGGAGCGGCCGAUGUCAGAUUAGCUAGUUGGUGGGGUAAAAGCCUACCAAGGCGACGAUCUGUAGCUGGUCUGAGAGGACGACCAGCCACACUGGGACUGAGACACGGCCCAGACUCCUACGGGAGGCAGCAGUGGGGAAUUUUGGACAAUGGACGAAAGUCUGAUCCAGCCAUGCCGCGUGCGGGAAGAAGGCCU